rnacentral:rRNA from 1 species
AAUAGAUACCCGGGUAGUCCACGCCGUAAACGAUGAGAACUAGAUGUUGGUUGGGGAACCAAUCAGGUAUCGAAGCUAACGCGAUAAGUUCUCCGCCUGGGAAGUACGGCCGCAAGGUUGAAACUCAAAUGAAUUGACGGGGGCCCACACAAGCGGUGGAGCAUGUGGUUUAAUUCGAUGCAACGCGAAGAACCUUACCUACCCUUGACAUCCUGCGAACUCUGAAGAGAUUUGGAAGUGCCGAAAGGAGCGCAGAGACAGGUGCUGCAUGGCUGUCGUCAGCUCGUGUUGUGAGAUGUUGGGUUAAGUCCCGUAACGAGCGCAACCCUUGUCCUUAGUUACCAGCAAGUAAAGUUGGGGACUCUAAGGAGACUGCCGGUGAUGAACCGGAGGAAGGCGGGGACGACGUCAAGUCAUCAUGGCCUUUAUGGGUAGGGCUACACACGUGCUACAAUGGGGCGUACAGAGGGUCGCCAACCCGCGAGGGGAGCCAAUCUCUUAAAGCGUCUCGUAGUCCGGAUUGGAGUCUGCAACUCGACUCC